rnacentral:rRNA from 1 species
GACGAACGCUGGCGGCGUGCUUAACACAUGCAAGUCGAACGGAAAGGCCUGCUUUCCCUUGUGGUUUGCGGGUACUCGAGUGGCGAACGGGUGAGUAACACGUGAGUGAUCUGCCCCCAACUUGGGUAUAAGCCUGGGAAACUGGGUCUAAUUCCCGAUAGGACUGCAGGGUGGUGCCUGUGGUGGAAAACGAUCUUCUAGUGGUUGGGGCUGAGCCCGCGGCCUAUCAGCUUGUCGGUGGGGUAAUGGCCUACCAAGGCGGCGACGGGUAGCCGGCCUGAGAGGGUGGACGGCCACGUUGGGACUGCGAUACGGCCCAGGCUCCUACGGGAGGCAGCAGUGGGGAAUAUUGCACAAUGGGCGGGAGCCUGAUGCGGCGGCGCCGCGUGGGGAUGACGGCCUUCGGGUUGUAAACUCCUUUCGGCCGCGAGGAAGCCGCCUGGUUGGAAGGGUGGUGACGGUAGUGGUAGAAGAAGCACCGGCUCACUGCG